UACAGAGGGUGCAAGCGUUAAUCGGAAUUACUGGGCGUAAAGGGCGCGUAGGCGGCCCCUUUUGUCGCGUGUGAAAGCCCACGGCUCAACCGUGGAGGGUCAUUGGAAACUGGGGGACUUGAGUGCAGGAGAGAAGAGUGGAAUUCCACGUGUAGCGGUGAAAUGCGUAGAGAUGUGGAGGAACACCAGUGGCGAAGGCGACUCUUUGGCCUGUAACUGACGCUGAGGCGCGAAAGCGUGGGGAGCAAACAGG
rnacentral:rRNA from 1 species